GUGGGGAAUAUUGGACAAUGGGGGGAACCCUGAUCCAGCCAUGCCGCGUGUGUGAAGAAGGCCUUUUGGUUGUAAAGCACUUUAAGCGAGGAGGAGGCUACCGAGAUUAAUACUCUUGGAUAGUGGACGUUACUCGCAGAAUAAGCACCGGCUAACUCUGUGCCAGCAGCCGCGGUAAUACAGAGGGUGCAAGCGUUAAUCGGAUUUACUGGGCGUAAAGCGCGCGUAGGUGGCUAAUUAAGUCAAAUGUGAAAUCCCCGAGCUUAACUUGGGAAUUGCAUUCGAUACUGGUUGGCUAGAGUAUGGGAGAGGAUGGUAGAAUUCCAGGUGUAGCGGUGAAAUGCGUAGAGAUCUGGAGGAAUACCGAUGGCGAAGGCAGCCAUCUGGCCUAAUACUGACACUGAGGUGCGAAAGCAUGGGGAGCAAACAGGAUUAGAUACCCUUGUAGUCC
rnacentral:rRNA from 1 species